UUCAACGGAGAGUUUGAUCCUGGCUCAGGACGAACGCUGGCGGCGUGCUUAACACAUGCAAGUCGAACGCUGAAGCCUGGUGCUUGCACCGGGUGGAUGAGUGGCGAACGGGUGAGUAAUACGUGAGUGACCUGCCUUUGACUCUGGGAUAAGCCUGGGAAACUGGGUCUAAUACCGGAUGCGACUACUGCCCGCAUGGGCUGGUGGUGGAAAGGGUUAUGUACUGGUCUUAGAUGGGCUCACGGCCUAUCAGCUGGUUGGUGGGGUAAUGGCCUACCAAGGCGACGACGGGUAGCCGGCCUGAGAGGGUGACCGGCCACACUGGGAC
rnacentral:rRNA from 1 species